GAGAGCAGCUGCUAAAAUACCAUUACAUAGCAGCAAGCAGAUAUUUGAAGCUGCUGGUGCCUCUGGAGUCCCACGGACAUCAAGGUGUAGAGUCCUCCAGAGCCUUGCAACUGUGCAUAAACCUUCUAUUUGGCCACUACUAACCGAUGCUCACAAGCAGAAAAAUACAUGAAGACUAAUUUUCAAACAGUCCUGUUCACUGAUGAGUGCCGUGCAACCCUG